rnacentral:rRNA from 1 species
UACGAAGGGGGCUAGCGUUGCUCGGAAUCACUGGGCGUAAAGGGCGCGUAGGCGGACUUUUAAGUCGGAGGUGAAAGCCCAGGGCUCAACCCUGGAAUUGCCUUCGAUACUGGGAGUCUUGAGUUCGGAAGAGGUUGGUGGAACUGCGAGUGUAGAGGUGAAAUUCGUAGAUAUUCGCAAGAACACCGGUGGCGAAGGCGGCAUCCUGGACCGGCAUUGACGCUGAGGAGCGAAAGCCAGGGGAGCAAACGGG